CUUCUUUUAGCCACUCAGGGACGACUUCUAAAUCUGUUUCCACCGUCCUGGCACUGACAUUUUUGAAGCAAAUCAUCAACUCUCUCGCAUCUCCAUUUUGUUUGACAGCCGGCAAGACAGCCGAAGCACUGUGACAAAUUACUAACAUCAGAAAUCCCAUCAAGGAAUAUUGUGAAAAAUAGAAACUCUGCAACUACGUCGUUCAGAGCCCCCGACAUCACGGCUGCAAGUAGCAUCAAUCACAGACCUUGCCAGAUAUGAUCAGACAGUCUCUGAAACACCUUUGCACUCUCCAGAAGUGUUGUUAGCUACACACCGUACUUAUGAGUGAGAUUGGAAACUUCUUCCAAAGCUUCACUUAACCAAAGCUGCAAGAGGAGGAGAACGGCCCUCCUGCCUUUACCUCCUGCCAGCACAGAGGAAGCUUUUCUGCAGCCCUGGGAGCGCUCCGCCAGGCGUAAGCCAAGCUGAAGUCACUGCUCUUCAGCGCUGGAUUUUUGAAGUCUACCUUGGGAAGGUCUGAGGCUGCUUGCACAACAUGUGGAACGUACCAAAGUUUGGGCUUUUCCUACAGCGCAGUCACCUUGCUCAACUCCUCCUUGGAGCUGCCUUUCCAAAAACACUGCUGCAAGAGGGAAGCAGUAGAAAUGGUGUUUUCGGACUAACAGCAAGGGAAAGAUUCAGGAAGUUCUGCUGUGCUCCCUUUCAGGUGGAUGAGGCCAUACUGGAAACGCGGAACUGGAACGCGCCAUGCGAGCGCUGCCCCGUCUCCUUUAGGCUGUACUCGUGCAGUGAGAAGAGCUGACUUGCUGCACAGAUGAAAGGAGGAAGUAAACAGGAGCAACAAAUCCGUGCUCAAGGCAGCACCUCGUCAUCCGAUGCUCGGGCUCACCGAGGGGCCAGCCGCGGGUUAGCGCCGUCGUGCUCGGCUCUGGAAAACAAGCCGUGACGGACAGCUCCUGUGCCCUGACACCCAAUCUCUGCACUCAACUGCAGAAAAUCAAAACAUUCAGCGCAAGCAGAGGCGCUCGGGUCACACGACAGCUGGCCAGGAUCCAGCUCCUCUCCCUAUGCUCUUUGGGCUGGGUAAACUUGCUUAGAUUUUUCUUUUAAUGUAACUUUACUCCAAUUUUGCUUUAACUUGUAUGUCAAGAUGAAAGGUUUUUUUUUUUCAGGAUUAUAGUUAUUUCACGCUAACCUGGAGACCCAAGAAAUUGGAAUGGAACUCCUAAAACAUGCUGUAGCUUUAUGUGACAGGUACAAAACCAGAGCUAUUGGUGAUCUGAACUAUAAUUACAGGAAUACACACAAAACAGGCCUGAAAGGGGCCUCAGCAUAGCCACAUAGUCCAUUCCUCUGCUUCAUGACAGGAACAUUUUAACCUAGACCGCUCCUGAGAGGGAUUUGUCUAACCUAUUUUAGAAACCUCCUCAAAAAGCCUACUGAAGAGGGCUAGCUAUUCAAAUUACAGCUCUACAGCCUUUCAAGUGGAUAGUUUCUCCUAAAUCUCCUUGCAAUUUAAACACACUAAUGCUUGUCCAAUAGAGACUGGUCGUGCAGAAAAGUAUGCUACCUUCCUGGUUUUCGCAAUGUUUUGAGGACUAUUAUCUUGUCUGUUAGUUAUCCUUUCUCCUUUCAGAUAUCCUUUCCUCAAAGGACGACCUUACAGCAAUCAAUACUCCUGUCAAAAGUGAGCUGCGCCACUGAAAAGCCUGCUUAUUCCAUCUCCAUGGAGCCAGCACGGCCCCCGGAGCUGCAGGCACUAAAGCAAUACUAGUCUUUACACAAGACAGUACAUAUCACGA
rnacentral:lncRNA from 1 species